rnacentral:rRNA from 1 species
CCGAAUUAUGUUUCAUGAAUUUCUAAUAAAUUAAAUGAAUAAUUAUGAAAAUUUCGUUUAGUUCAAUUAGUAUUGAUAAUAAUUUUAUUUUUUAUACUAUUUCGAUUAAAUCCGCAAAUUAUA